rnacentral:rRNA from 1 species
GGUUAAGCGACUAAGCGUACACGGUGGAUGCCCUGGCAGUCAGAGGCGAUGAAGGACGUGCUAAUCUGCGAAAAGCGUCGGUAAGGUGAUAUGAACCGUUAUAACCGGCGAUGUCCGAAUGGGGAAACCCAGUGCAAUUCGUUGCACUAUCGUUAACUGAAUACAUAGGUUAACGAGGCGAACCGGGGGAACUGAAACAUCUAAGUACCCCGAGGAAAAGAAAUCAACCGAGAUUCCCCCAGUAGCGGCGAGCGAACGGGGAGCAGCCCAGAGUCUGAAUCAGCUUGUGUGUUAGUGGAACGGUCUGGAAAGUCCGACGGUACAGGGUGAUAGUCCCGUACACCAAAAUGCACAGGCUGUGAACUCGAAGAGUAGGGCGGGACACGUGGUAUCCUGUCUGAAUAUGGGGGGACCAUCCUCCAAGGCUAAAUACUCCUGACUGACCGAUAGUGAACCAGUACCGUGAGGGAAAGGCGAAAAGAACCCCGGCGAGGGGAGUGAAAAAGAACCUGAAACCGUGUACGUACAAGCAGUGGGAGCACCUUCGGGUGUGACUGCGUACCUUUUGUAUAAUGGGUCAGCGACUUAUAUUCUGUAGCAAGGUUAACCGUAUAGGGGAGCCGCAGGGAAACCGAGUCUUAACUGGGCGUUAAGUUGCAGGGUAUAGACCCGAAACCCGGUGAUCUAGCCAUGGGCAGGUUGAAGGUUGGGUAACACUAACUGGAGGACCGAACCGACUAAUGUUGAAAAAUUAGCGGAUGACUUGUGGCUGGGGGUGAAAGGCCAAUCAAACCGGGAGAUAGCUGGUUCUCCCCGAAAGCUAUUUAGGUAGCGCCUCGUGAACUCAUCUUCGGGGGUAGAGCACUGUUUCGGCUAGGGGGUCAUCCCGACUUACCAACCCGAUGCAAACUACGAAUACCGAAGAAUGUUAUCACGGGAGACACACGGCGGGUGCUAACGUCCGUCGUGAAGAGGGAAACAACCCAGACCGCCAGCUAAGGUCCCAAAGUCAUGGUUAAGUGGGAAACGAUGUGGGAAGGCACAGACAGCCAGGAUGUUGGCUUAGAAGCAGCCAUCAUUUAAAGAAAGCGUAAUAGCUCACUGGUCGAGUCGGCCUGCGCGGAAGAUGUAACGGGGCUAAACCAUGCACCGAAGCUGCGGCAGCGACACUAUGUGUUGUUGGGUAGGGGAGCGUUCUGUAAGCCUGCGAAGGUGUGCUGUGAGGCAUGCUGGAGGUAUCAGAAGUGCGAAUGCUGACAUAAGUAACGAUAAAGCGGGUGAAAAGCCCGCUCGCCGGAAGACCAAGGGUUCCUGUCCAACGUUAAUCGGGGCAGGGUGAGUCGACCCCUAAGGCGAGGCCGAAAGGCGUAGUCGAUGGGAAACAGGUUAAUAUUCCUGUACUUGGUGUUACUGCGAAGGGGGGACGGAGAAGGCUAUGUUAGCCGGGCGACGGUUGUCCCGGUUUAAGCAUGUAGGCUGGUUAUCCAGGCAAAUCCGGAUAAUCAAGGCUGAGGUGUGAUGACGAGGCACUACGGUGCUGAAGUAACAAAUGCCCUGCUUCCAGGAAAAGCCUCUAAGCAUCAGGUAACAUCAAAUCGUACCCCAAACCGACACAGGUGGUCAGGUAGAGAAUACCAAGGCGCUUGAGAGAACUCGGGUGAAGGAACUAGGCAAAAUGGUGCCGUAACUUCGGGAGAAGGCACGCUGGUGUGUAGGUGAAGCCCCUGCGGGUGGAGCUGAGACCAGUCGAAGAUACCAGCUGGCUGCAACUGUUUAUUAAAAACACAGCACUGUGCAAACACGAAAGUGGACGUAUACGGUGUGACGCCUGCCCGGUGCCGGAAGGUUAAUUGAUGGGGUUAUCCGUAAGGAGAAGCUCUUGAUCGAAGCCCCGGUAAACGGCGGCCGUAACUAUAACGGUCCUAAGGUAGCGAAAUUCCUUGUCGGGUAAGUUCCGACCUGCACGAAUGGCGUAAUGAUGGCCAGGCUGUCUCCACCCGAGACUCAGUGAAAUUGAACUCGCUGUGAAGAUGCAGUGUACCCGCGGCAAGACGGAAAGACCCCGUGAACCUUUACUAUAGCUUGACACUGAACAUUGAGCCUUGAUGUGUAGGAUAGGUGGGAGGCUUUGAAGCGUGGACGCCAGUCUGCGUGGAGCCAACCUUGAAAUACCACCCUUUAAUGUUUGAUGUUCUAACGUUGGCCCCUUACCGGGGUUGCGGACAGUGUCUGGUGGGUAGUUUGACUGGGGCGGUCUCCUCCCAAAGCGUAACGGAGGAGCACGAAGGUUAGCUAAUCCUGGUCGGACAUCAGGAGGUUAGUGCAAUGGCAUAAGCUAGCUUGACUGCGAGCGUGACGGCGCGAGCAGGUGCGAAAGCAGGUCAUAGUGAUCCGGUGGUUCUGAAUGGAAGGGCCAUCGCUCAACGGAUAAAAGGUACUCCGGGGAUAACAGGCUGAUACCGCCCAAGAGUUCAUAUCGACGGCGGUGUUUGGCACCUCGAUGUCGGCUCAUCACAUCCUGGGGCUGAAGUAGGUCCCAAGGGUAUGGCUGUUCGCCAUUUAAAGUGGUACGCGAGCUGGGUUUAGAACGUCGUGAGACAGUUCGGUCCCUAUCUGCCGUGGGCGCUGGAGAAUUGAGGGGGGCUGCUCCUAGUACGAGAGGACCGGAGUGGACGCAUCACUGGUGUUCGGGUUGUCAUGCCAAUGGCACUGCCCGGUAGCUAAAUGCGGAAGAGAUAAGUGCUGAAAGCAUCUAAGCACGAAACUUGCCCCGAGAUGAGUUCUCCCUGAGACUUUAAGUCUCCUGAAGGAACGUUAAAGACGAUGACGUUGAUAGGCCGGGUGUGUAAGCGCAGCGAUGCGUUGAGCUAACCGGUACUAAUGAACCGUGAGGCUUAACCUU